rnacentral:rRNA from 1 species
GGCUCAGGAUGAACGCUAGCGGCAGGCUUAACACAUGCAAGUCGAGGGGCAUCGGGAGUAGCAAUACUUGCCGGCGACCGGCGCAAGGGUGCGUAACGCGUGAGCAACAUGCCCGUAUCAGGGGGAUAAUCCAUGGAAACGUGGUCUAAUACCCCAUAGUAAUUAUGUAAGGCAUCUUAUAUAAUUUAAAGCUUUGGUGGAUACGGAUUGGCUCGCGUGACAUUAGCUGGAUGGUAAGGUAACGGCUUACCAUGGCUACGAUGUCUAGGGGUUCUGAGAGGAAGGUCCCCCCACACUGGAACUGAGACACGGUCCAGACUCCUACGGGAGGCAGCAGUGAGGAAUAUUGGACAAUGGAUGGAAAUCUGAUCCAGCCAUGCCGCGUGCAGGAAAGACGGCCCUAUGGGUUGUAAACUGCUUUUGUAUGGGAGCAAUAAGGGCUACGUGUAGUCCGAUGAGAGUACCAUACGAAUAAGCACCGGCUAACUCCGUGCCAGCAGCAGC